AUUGAACGCUGGCGGCAGGCCUAACACAUGCAAGUCGAGCGGAUGAAGGGAGCUUGCUCCUGGAUUCAGCGGCGGACGGGUGAGUAAUGCCUAGGAAUCUGCCUGGUAGUGGGGGAUAACGUCCGGAAACGGGCGCUAAUACCGCAUACGUCCUGAGGGAGAAAGUGGGGGAUCUUCGGACCUCACGCUAUCAGAUGAGCCUAGGUUGGAUUAGCUAGUUGGUGGGGUAAAGGCCUACCAAGGCGACGAUCCGUAACUGGUCUGAGAGGAUGAUCAGUCACACUGGAACUGAGACACGGUCCAGACUCCUACGGGAGGCAGCAGUGGGGAAUAUUGGACAAAGGGCGAAAGCCUGAUCCAGCCAUGCCGCGUGUGUGAAGAAGGUCUUCGGAUUGUAAAGCACUUUAAGUUGGGAGGAAGGGCAGUAAGUUAAUACCUUGCUGUUUUGACGUUACCAACAGAAUAAGCACCGGCUAACUUCGUG
rnacentral:rRNA from 1 species